AAUCCGCACUCUAUCAAGAAGGCAAACCUCUGAAAUCGAUGUUAACAGUCUUUUCUACUAGCUAUGCUAAAUAAAAAGAAGGAAUUAAUAUCAGUCCAAGAGAGGGUAAUCCGCAACCCUUAGAACGCUCAAGUAUCUCCAAGGAAAGGGGUAGUCCACUCUCUGCCUCAAAGAACUAAGCUCUGAUAUUGUGAUUGAGAAAAUAUCAGUUUAGAGGAGGGUAAUCCGCAACCUCUAAAAAAUGCUAGUAUACCUUCAAGUAGAGGGGUAAU
rnacentral:lncRNA from 1 species